AGCGGCCGCCCGGGAGGCAGCGGCGGUGGCGGCGCGGCGGCGACACCAGCAGCUAGCUUUCAUAAAGAGUAAUAAGACUUUGCUCACUCCAGUGCCCUGGCCCAUGACCUGGAUGAGAGAAAAUUCCUGGCUCCUUCAGAAGCUUGGUCAAGGCUGAAUGGUCCUGGAUAAACAGACGCCUGGAGCUGAGAAUGGACUCUGGCCAAGUGUGGCCUGGGGGACUGAGCUGUUGGCCCCCGCACCCACCCCUGGAGCUGGAGCAUCUGGAAAGAACCACUUGCCCUUUGUCUGUUGUCAUACUGGCCAUCGUCUCAGAGGAUGACUUUCAUCAGAGCUCCAACUCCACCUACAGAACCGCAAGCAGCUCUCUCCGAGCUGACCAAGAAGCGCUGCUUGAGAAGCUGCUGGACCGCCCACCGCCCGGCCUGCAGAGGCCUGAGGACCGCUUCAACGGUACCUACCUCAUCUUCUUCAGCUUGGGCAUCGGCAGCCUGCUGCCAUGGAACUUCUUUGUCACAGCCCAGGAGUAUUGGACAUUCAAAUUCAGCAACUGCUCUAGCCCAGCCACAGGGGAGGAACCUAAGGGCUCAGACAUCCUGAACUACUUUGAGAACUACCUGGCUGUCGCCUCCACUGUGCCCUCCGUGCUGUGCCUCGUGGUGAACUUCCUGCUUGUCAACAGAUUUAGAAGCACAAACUGGAAGAAACCUGAAAGAGUUCCUCUUCGUAUCCGUGUGCUGGCCUCGUUGACUGUCAUGCUGGCCAUCUUUGUGGUGAUGACCGUGCUGGUGAAGGUGGACACCUCCUCCUGGACCCAGAGCUUCUUCGCCAUCACCAUUGUCUCCAUGGCGAUCCUCAGUGGCACCUCCACCAUCUUCAAUAGCAGCGUCUUCGGCAUGACUGGUUCCUUCCCCAUGAGGAAUUCCCAGGCGCUGAUAUCAGGAGGAGCCAUGGGGGGCACCCUCAGUGCUGUGGCCUUGCUGGUGGACCUGGCGGCGGCCAGUGACGUGACGGACAGCGCCCUGGCCUUCUUCCUGACGGCAGACGUCUUCCUGGCAGCCUGCGUCGGGCUGUACCUGCUGCUGCCGCGGCUGGACUAUGCCGGGUACUACAUGAGGCCUGUCUGGCCAGCCAUGUUUUCUGGUGAAGAGCAGCCACCCCAGGACUCCCCCAACCCCGCUUUGGGGGCCCCUGGAUCCAGCAACUCCCAGACACCACCCCUCCGCCCCAUCCUGAAGAGGACUGCCGGCCUGGGCUUCUGCGUCAUCUACCUCUUCUUCAUCACCAGCCUCAUCUUCCCCGCCAUCUCCAGCAACAUCAGGUCCCUCAGCAAGAGCUCAGGCUCGCCCUGGAGCACCAAGUUCUUCGUCCCCCUCACCACCUUCCUCCUAUACAACUUUGCCGACCUGUGCGGCCGGCAGAUCACAGCCUGGAUCCAGGUGCCAGGGCCCAGAAGCAAGGUGCUCCCCGGGCUUGUGCUCCUCCGGACCUGCUUCAUCCCCCUCUUUAUGUUCUGCAACUACCAGCCCCGCAUCCACCUGCAGAUGGUGGUCUUCCAGUCCGACAUGUACCCGGUGCUCUUCAUCUCCCUGCUGGGGCUCAGCAACGGCUACCUCAGCACACUGGCUCUCAUCUAUGGGCCCAAGAUCGUGCCCAGGGAGCUGGCUGAGGCCACUGGGGUGGUGAUGUCCUUUUACAUGUGCUUGGGCCUGGUGCUCGGCUCAGCCUGCUCUGCCCUGCUCGUGCACCUCAUCUAGGAGGGGCGAUGGCUAGACAUCUGUGCCACGGGAUGCCUGGGAGCCUCAGCAAGAUAGGCAGGAAGGGCCAGGAGGGCCCAGGCGGCGAGCAGGAAGGGCUGGAGUUGGGCUCUGCAGAGCACAGAGCGCACCCGGGCCUCGUUGCUCCCAGGGAGCUGGGACCAGUGCUGUCCCCAGGCCAAGUAGACAUUCCAGAUACUUGGACAGAUGUCCUGAGAUGUUUAGGACCAAAGACACCUGAAUAAGACACAGUUACAAGUUACACAGUCAAAAAGCUCCUUGCCGAUGGGUUAUUCCCUCUUGGGAACCAUGUUGCCAGUGUUCAGCUCUGAGUUGUUACAGGGAAGCUGAAAUCUCCCCCUUGGUUUUUUUUCCACUGACUUCAGUGCUGUUGAUCAUUUGGGGCAUCUGAAUGGGAGGUGACUCAUCUCAACCUCAGGUAUCUUAUAAAUGAGCGGCAUGCCUGUUUUUAAGGUAAAACAGCAAUCUGAGCUCAGAGGUAGGGGCCACCCUGGAGCUACCAGGGGAGGAGGAGUGGGGGUCUCGCAUGCUCUGUUGAAGGGGGGUAGCUUUCCCAUUAGUGAGUUGAUUUGAAAUUAGUGUGGAGUGAAGGGGGAAGAUGGUGGCCAGCUGUGAGGAUGCAGCACUGGGGGGGGAGCUGAGGAGUUGACAGGACUCGGUCAGUGCCAGCUGUGCUGCUGCUGCUGCCGGCGGAGGGGCCCACUGCUUGGCAGGUGGGAGGAUUAUCCAGGCUUUUGCCCACUUUUCUUUGUUGCUCACUUUAGUGGGCAUUUUGCAAAGGAUCGUUCCUUCUCAGGGAGGGAGGAAAGUAAGUAAAAAUAAUAUCUCCAAGUAGAGGGGCAGAUUGUAGAGUUCAGGCACCCUUGUCCCCGGUUACUAUGGUAGCAGCUCAUGGGGUUUGUCUGCUCUGGGUCUCAAGACUUAUGUGACCCCAGCAGGCUUGUGGAACUAGCGCACGUGUUGUGGGUGUGAAUAAAACUUGCUAAAGAGAAGGGGAUUUUGCAGUAAAAGAGGUGGAGGGGGAAAUCCCUGAGAAAUUGCCUUUGUCUAGUUCUC